CCCCCCCUGAUGAGCCGAGUUAUCUUUUUGAGACAGAGACACAGGAGACACAGCUGAAAAAAAUAAAAAAUAAAAAAAAAGACGCGAUCGCGGGGUGCGGAGCUGCAGCAACUACAGAAAGCUAAAGGCCAGUACUCACGGCCCGAUGCAGCUCUCUGCUUACAGUCAUGAAUGUCCCGGGGCCGGCAGCUCCCUCCGUCCUCACACAUUCGCCCCUCUGCCUCCAGCCCACUGUGUACACUAUAUCACCAGAAGUCCUAGGACAUAGAGGCACAGACCGCACUUCAGCAGCACAAUUUAGAGAACCAGUCCUCCACCAAGGUACCAGUAGCACAGCAAUGGCGCCUGGGAUCACUCUAAAGAAGGAUGGCCAUCGGUGUACACCUCCAUGCCUGUUCCUGCUCCUUCUCAUCAGGGGUGUGAGGGGAACCAUUGAUCUGCAGUCAUACAAGCAAUGCAUGCUGACAGGAGUCGUAGAAGAACGCUCACAGCAGAAGAGCCGGUGACAGGCAGGGGAAAGACAACCUGCCAGUAUCUGUGGAAAACAGCGCUCCUCAGGAGAGAGAGCAGAUCUAGAGAGCUCGGUAUGUGUGUGUUGGGGGGGGGAGCGGUAUUUAACACACAUGCAGCACAUGACACUCAUAUACACGUGCAACACCUGACACACACAAAGGCAGCACCUGACUCUCAUAUACACACAUGCAUAACAUCAGACACACUAAUCUACACAUGCAGCAACUGACACACACACACAAGGCAUUUAACACGCACAGAACCUGACACACACAUAUACACUCGCACCACCUGACACACACACAUACACUCGCACCACCUGACACACUCUUAUAUACACGCGCAUCACCUAACACACACAUAUACAUGUGCUGCACCUGACACACACACAUAAUGUAGACGUGCAACACCUGACACAUGCACAACAGCUGGCACACUAAUAUAAACAUGCAGCGUCUGACACACACAUAGACAGGCAGCACCUGACACAUACAUAGACGUGGCAUUUAAUACACACACAGCACCUAACACACAUACACUUGCAGCACCUCACACACACACACACACACACACACACACAUAUACAUGCACAGCACCUGCCACUCAUAUACACCCAAAGCAUCUGCCACUCACUGCAUAUACACACAGCAUCUGCCACUCACACACACAUACACACAGCACCUGACACACAUGUAUAUACACGCAGCACCUGACACACGUAUAUACACGCAGAGCACCUGAAACACACACACACAGCACCUACAUAUACACGCGCAGCACCUCACAGCCACACACAUAUAUACACGCGCAAUACCUUAUACACACAU